CUCUGGGUCCUGGCUCCAUCUCUGCACUGUGUAUGCUGGGAUCCCUGAAGCUGUUGUCCUCCUUCCUGUACUUCCCUUUCCCAGUUCCAAUUUAUGGCCUACUCACGUUUCUUCACUGCAGGUGCAAAAUUGGAUGUUAUUCCUGGUGGACCUCCUGGACAUCUGCCCCUCCUCCCACGUUGACAAUUCAGUCAACAAAUGACACCAGAUCCUGGAUCUUGCAUAUCUAAGGGAGAAGACUCAAGUAAUUUUUUAAAGAUGUAUAUUUGCUUCAGGAAGAUUGUUUGUCCUUAAGUAAAUACCAACUUU